ACUUACACUGGAAACCCUUCGACGGUAUCUUCUUCAAACACCUCGGGGGCACCAUUGUCGACUUGGUUGUGAGCGAAUUGCGAGCACCCCUCUUUUAACUCUUUCACCAAUAAUGCGAAAGGCAAAAGGAAAAGGAGUGCAGAAAAAGAUACGGGUUCAAAUUAAAUAAUGAAUAGUACGUCUGUCGACGUGUCUUAGUUUGUUCAAGGGUAAUAUUGACAUUUCAUUAUAAAACAAUAUCACCCGUAUUUUGACCCGGAUCCAAAUCCUACUGUUCUUCGUACACUAUUUGUUUGGAUAAAAUUGGCCCAAUGGCA
rnacentral:lncRNA from 1 species